GGUUCUCUAAGGGGCUCUCGCUCGGCGCGGCCAUGGAGGCGGACGGGAGCCAGGCUACCUCGGGGAGCCCCGGAGAGGCGCAGCACGACCCCGGCAAGAUGUUCAUCGGCGGCCUCAGCUGGCAAACCUCACCAGACAGCCUUAGAGACUAUUUUAGCAAAUUCGGAGAAAUUAGGGAGUGUAUGGUCAUGCGGGACCCCACCACCAAGCGCUCCAGAGGCUUCGGGUUCGUUACGUUCGCGGAUCCGGCGAGUGUAGACAAAGUCCUGGCUCAGCCGCACCACGAGCUGGACUCCAAGACGAUUGACCCUAAAGUUGCGUUUCCUCGGCGAGCACAGCCCAAGAUGGUCACAAGAACAAAGAAAAUAUUUGUAGGUGGAUUAUCAGCUAACACAGUAGUGGAAGACGUGAAGCAAUACUUUGAACAGUUUGGCAAGGUAGAGGAUGCCAUGCUAAUGUUUGACAAGACGACCAACAGGCAUAGAGGAUUUGGCUUCGUAACUUUUGAAAAUGAAGACGUGGUGGAAAAAGUCUGUGAAAUUCAUUUCCACGAAAUCAAUAAUAAAAUGGUAGAAUGUAAGAAAGCACAACCUAAAGAAGUGAUGUUUCCACCAGGGACGAGAGGAAGGGCACGUGGAUUGCCGUACACCAUGGACGCUUUUAUGCUAGGGAUGGGAAUGUUGGGUUACCCGAAUUUUGUUGCAACAUAUGGCCGAGGAUAUCCUGGAUUUGCCCCAAGUUACAGUUAUCAGUUCCCAGAUACUCUAGAGCUACACACAGACACGCACACGCACACAGGGACCCGCACACCCCUUCCCGUGCUGGCCUGUGGUUUCCCAGCAGCGGCUUAUGGACCAGUAGCAGCGGCAGCCGUGGCGGCAGCAAGAGGAUCAGGUUUUGUUUUACGUGCAAACAGACCUGAGGGUGUCUCUGAGGCAAACUUUCCGGCCUCUCUUACACUCGGACGUGCACACCUCCUCUCAAACACUCUUCUGAGCGCUCUCAGCGGGAAGGCUCCAACCCAGCGCGGCCCGGAGGCUUCCCCGGGGCCAACAGCCCCGGGCCCGUCGCGGAUCUCUACGGCACGGCCAGCCAGGACUCCGGCGUGGGUAACUACAUAAGCGCCGCCAGCCCGCAGCCGGGCUCCGGCUUCGGACACGGCAUCGCCGGACCUUUGAUUGCAACGGCUUUUACAAAUGGAUACCAUUGAAACGUUACACAUGGUUGGUUGCCAUCUCACUUGGAGAGUCUCUCUGGAUGUCCGGGCAAGACAGGGCGAAGUUUCUGAAGGGCCCCACGGUUGGGUGAUCUCAUCAGACUUUGAGCACUACAUCAUCAUCAUCAUCAUCAUCAUCAUCACCGCCAACGCAAACUGGAGGUGGCACUCGAAGGACUUGGGUUGUUUAAAAUCUCUCUCAUCAUCUCAUGAAUCUGCUGUACUAUAAAAACAACAGCUUUUAAAAGUAUGUAUAUAAAACCCAUUUCUUGUUCGUUUUAUUUUCUCGAUGGGUCCCUCCUCCCCUCUUUUUAAGCCUCUCCAAACCCACAUCUUUUCGUAGCCUUUUUGACAUAGUCUCGUAGCCACGUAGUCGGAAUUCUUUGUGUAUGUAGCGAGAGCCUAACCAUAGUGUAACUGUUAUAUUAAGGGGUUUCUUUUGCUUUUCUUUCCCACCUCCCCUCCUCCUCCUCCUCCUCCUCCUCCUCCUCCUCCUCCUCCUCCUCCUCCCUUCUGUUUUACGUAGUUGUUGUUGCUUAAAGGAUGCUGAGAUGGUGACAGGAGCCUGGGCCACGGGGGGAGCGGAGCCAGCGGCGGGUGCGGCACGGGGGGCUGGCAGGGCACGGGGAGGGGGGAGCAACAGGUUCUCUGGCCCUUCUUUUCCUUUGUGGCGUCUUGGUUACUCUAAUUCUCUCUAUUUUCGGCAAUAAGGCGAGGGCGACAAACUUUUUGCGCGUCCUUUUUCUAUAUAAGUGCUUUUUUUUGUUGAAAGAGGUGAUAUAAGGUUUUUUGAAAUUGUGAAUUCUGAAAAAAAAAAAAGAAAAAAAUAAUAAAAUGCUGUAAAUACAAUUCCAUUAACUACAUAGAAACUAUUAAGAAAGAGAAAUACAAACCUAUUUUUGUGAUGGAGUCAGCCUAAGGCAGUUUCUCUGUGAAAAUGGAUGAUAAAAGACAAGGAAGUUGUAGCCUUUCGGAGCGACUGCCGGAGCUGGCCCGGGGGGGCUGUGAUGCUGUGGGACCCUCCCAGCUCACCCAGUUCAUACCAGCAGCUCCGCUCUCAGACGUGCACAGCUUACAAAGGAACAGUCGAGUGGGAUUUUUAUUUUAAUUUAAAACCUGCUUUUCCCAAAACUGAUCAAGAAGCUACAAUUUUUCCUACUUAGCGCAUUUACGGUUCAAAGCACACCUUUAUUUUGGUUUUGUUUUUUUUUUUUUUUUUUUUGGUUGAUUGUUGGUUUUUUUUUUAGACAUUGUUUUAAACUAGAUCAACUUGCUGUCCAGUCAUUUCAGCUGCUCUGGGCACCCUGUGCAGGCAGAGCAGCGUCCAGCUUGCAUGAUUUCCUUUAUUAUCCAUCACUUUCUGUAUUAUCAAAUUAGAAAACAACUUUGGUUGGUUUUGGUUUUUUAUUUUCUUUUUUUUUUUCUUUUCUUUUUGGUUUUUAUUUGGGAAUACCUCAGUGCUACAAGUUUCACCCUAGAAGCAACGGAAGAUUUUAAUUUAUUGUAGUUGUAAACAGAAUUUAAAAGAAAUAAAGUAUAAAACAUCAUUGCACUGUGACUGGUAGGGGAAAAACUGACAGUUUCCUAUUUGCACAUGUUUAAUAUUUGGCUGUUAUAUAUAUGGUCCUCUGUUGGGGGAGGAAACUUAUGAAGGAUAUUUUUUAAUUUAAUUUUUUUAAUAUUGGUAAAUAGGCCUGCAACAGCAAACUAGAAGUACAACAUGGUAGGUGGCAUUAAGAACAUACUGUAGUGUGGAUAUAUUUCUUCUUUUUUUAACGUAAUAUUGACAAGUUUUAUUAAUAUUUUUUUAAAUUGUUACGUUUAUAAAUUUGGUACUUUAGGUACAGCCAGUAUAAGACACUGAAUGCGACAUUUGUUAAAAAGAGCUGCUGCACUCCUAUUUUUGUAAAUUUUACUAACAAGUAGACUAAUGUAGACAUUCAAUAGACAAGGUAGAGCAAGGCAUCUUUAACAAAUCAAGGCACCAUACUGCUAACCGAAAGGAGAAACCUUGUUUUUCUUGUUUUUAAAAAAAAAAAAUCAUGCUUUUUAUGUAAUAUUUUAGGUUUUUUUCUUAUUUCAGAACAACCAGGUUUAAGCAAAAUGCUGGACGCUUUUUAAAUAUUGAGACUUGAUCAAGUAAUAAAAGAAAUAAAACCGAAUUCUUUAAAAAAUAAAAAGGUAAAAAAAAAAAUACUACGAACCAAAUUCCCUGCGAUUCAGUGUGUGCCGUCAGGGAAUUUUUUAUUGCUAUUUUGUCAAUGUUGAUGAUGUACUGUACUACCAGUUGGUUUUCCUCUCCAUUCCCUGUCACCUCAUAGAAUAUUCUUUGUUGAUCAUUGUUGUAUGUUAAUAGUGUAUAAAAUGGCUUAUCUUGUAAGAGUGCUGUCCUGAUGGUAGUGUAGUGAAUUUUUCCCCCCUCUUUCUCUCUUCCUCUUCUAGUACAUAUUGGUAGGUGUAUCGUAAUUAAGGUUAAAAAUUUAGAUGUAGUUAAUCAGAUUUAGGACCAGUAAGGAUAGAACUUUCUCUUAUUUAAGAAAAAAAAAAAUGCUAAUAAUUUUGGGAAGGUUUUCCUUUUUUUUGUUUUUUCUUCUCUUUUUUCUUUCUGUGCUUUUUUUCCUCGUUUAUUAUUUUUCUUUUGUUGAUCUGAUGCGGUUUCAACUAACCAAAGGUCUCACAAUGUUAAAAAUGCUGGCAAACUCUUAAGGCAUUUGUAGAUCCCCACCCUUGACUUUGGAAAGGGGAUGUGCCAUACUACCUUAAAUGCUAAUGCUAGAUAUGCAAAACUGGAUUUUUUUAAUUUAUUUUUUAAAAGAGGGAGGCACGGUAUAUUAAAACGAUUUUACUAAGAGAAAAAAAAAACAUAUUUUUUUAAGAAUGUUCAGAAGAAAUUGCUAAUCUGUGUGAAUAUGUUUUAGAUGUUUAUAUACCUUUUGAGAAGUCCCAGUGGCCCAUAGCACAAAUGUCGUGGAAUCCAAGAUGUUUUGAUGUGGCUACCUAGACUAAGGUUCACGUUAGUCCCCCACUCAUCUAGAAAUCAAUUUUAAAGGAUUUUUUUUUUUUCUUUUUCUUCGUUUGUUUGGGGGUUUUUUGUAAAUUUUUCAGCACAGAGGUUCAGCUCCACCUUUGUUUUACUCAAGCCCAGGGAGCGAAGGCCGGUGGAGCCAUGGACUGGUUGGGUUGGAGGGACCCUCCAGUGCCACCCUCCAUGGCAGGGACACCUCACCCUGUGCCAGGGGCUCCAAGGCUGCCCAGCCUGGCCUGGGACAGCCCAGGGACACUCAGAGCCUCUCCAGCCCUCAGUGCCAGGGAAAAGCUCUGGCCCCAGCCUGGCCAGCACCAGGGGCUCUGGGUGACCUGGGCCAGGGACAUUUCCGAGGAGCCACAGGUGCUUGGGACCCUCCCCCUUCAAAGAGCCCGAGUCCUUUGUGAUCGGCUUGAUUAAAGCGAAGCCUGAUCUGUCCUUUGGGGUUUUUAUUUUUAAUUACACUUCAUAAAUGUUCAUUUUGAGUUGAAUUUGUAGCUUGGACUUUAAGGUAGCAUGGCUCUCUUUGCUGUAAGUUGUUUUUUUUUCCAUUGUACAGCAGCGUCUGCUGGUGAAUGUCACACAUCUUGCUAGGCUUAGUUAAACCAUUGGGUAAUUGUGGGUGAUAACGACCUGAAAGGUGUUGGGAUUUCUUUUCUUCCCUGCUUUCAUCUGUAGUGUGAAUGAGGGCUAGCGACUCCAGCCACACGUCCCUUCUUGUUUCGUUUCUGCCAUUCACUCAAUGCAACAUAAUCAAUA